CUCGCCUGCAGGCUAGAACAUCGGUAAAUCCAGAGAGGAUUGUAGAUUCUACACGAAGUCUUGUGUCAAUCACGCCAGCAGUCAUCCUUUUGUUGAUCCAAUAUAAAAAACCCUCAAAGCUUCAAUUCCAGCUUCGUCUUCAAUUUCAGGUUCUCCAAAAAGCAGAGAAAAAGCAAAGGUUCGAUUUCACGUUUGCCUAUUUUCUGUAUUUUGUAUUCUCACAUGUCUAGAAAUGUUCGUUAUUAUAAACCCUAGAAGUAAUUUAUGCAAAAUGCUACCUCUCUUCAUCUAAUGCUUUGGAUUUGAAAUCAAAAUAGAUCUCUCUUGUUUGGGAGUUUGUGUAAUUUUAGCCAUGCAUGUAUUGUUUUGUCAUAAUGGAGUCAUGGGCAAGCGGCAUUUUGAAGGAGGCAGGCAUUUGUUUGUUCUUUUAGCUUGGAAACACUUUGGACCUUUUCAAUGAUGCAAGAAUAUGGCUAAUUUAUGAUUUUCAUGUUCAAGUUCAUUAUUAACCGCUAGGCAGCUCCGAAUUUGUAUAUGCUUGGCAAAAUAAGGAGAAGGGAUUGCCCUUGGGGGAGGGGGGGAGCGGAUAGGUGUGGAUCUUGUGAUCAGAAAGUUAGGUGCUAUGUUCAAUUUGAUGCCAUGUAUGCUGGAAAAGGCUGCACCUUUUGCAAGAUUUUCUUUUAAAUGAAUAAUUCAGUUUCAUCUUUGUCUUCAUGCUAUUUAGGACAUAAAACAAAUGCUAAAUAAUACUAAAGUAGAAACUCAGAAGUUGGCAAUGUUUCUGUAGUCUUGCGUGACAUCAUCAUCGCUUCGUAUUAAUUAAGAAAUCUAAUUCUUAUGUUAUGGUUUCUUGUUAAAUGAAUCAAUGGGUGCGUUAUUAGAUUAUGGAAUUCAUUAAAUCAAUAAUUGCUUUCAUUCCGAUAUUCAAGAGUUAUUGAAGGUAAAGCCACACCUCAGGCUCAAGGCUCACCAGAUCCCAACCUAGUGUCUCUACAGGAUAAACGGGGGCGACAUUCACCAAGCAUGGUUCUAGUCUCUAGAAAGGCACACUUUCUUUUUUUUUUUCCUUUCGGCAAUGAAGA
rnacentral:misc_RNA from 1 species